rnacentral:rRNA from 1 species
CUUUUCUAGUACGAAAGGACCGAAAAGAAGAGGCCUAUACUUCAAGUACGCCUUAUCCCGAUCUAAUGAAAACAUCUAAAUUAGGUAAAAGGACACAAAACUUCAGCCUUAGAGAAAGGUGC